CUUAAUUAAAAGCGCUAACUGCUCGAGGUUAACUACUUUUCAGUUUUUUUGUUCUAUAAAAAACUUCAGUUAAAAUAAAGUUUACAUGAUUGUGUUAAUUAUAUCAUAGUAUAAAAUAGUCAUGCAUAGCCCAUGACCAUUGCAUUUUUACCCUACUUUUUUGGGCCGUGUGUCUCUUUGACGCCAUAAUUUAAACCUAAAAACUCUAUAGUUCGACCCUUUGUUG
rnacentral:lncRNA from 1 species